GUGUCAGGGCUCAGGACCAAACUCUUUCCAGGCAUAAGGACUAACUAAUGCUGCAGAACACCUUUCCAGGUGACAGGAUUAAACAUAAAUUUUAGGAAGCCACGUUGUUGUUUUCAGCCUACCAGUCAAUUGCUGCUUAUCAUUGUGAAAACAUCAUUUAUGACAAGGUGUCUUGAGACACCUCUCAAAGUGUCAAAAAUAUCUUGAGAUACUUCUCCACCAUUUUUUCUGGUACCUGUAGUGAGCACAGUAGAUGUGGGAAAAGGCUGCAGAACUCAGCCUGAGCACUGAAAUCUUCUGCUGGAUGUCCACCUGUAAUUGCUCUGAAGAGGGCAGAGAGAGAGAAAGAGAAGAAAAAAUUAGUCAAAACUGUAUUUUCCCUGGUUCUUGGCCACUGGCAAGCAAUAGUGGGUUUGCUUGUGUAUUUUUUCCCUACUUGCAUGCAGUGGGGCAGCCCAUGAAAUGCCUUUGCCACAUUAUUUCAGCUUGCUAAGGUGUGCAGCUUGUGAUCCCUCAAAAGAACUCUACUCUCUUUGUCCUUGUGGAAUAUUUUUGAGCAAAGACGACUUUUGGACUCGGCCCAAUAUUUUUCUUCUGGGCAGUUAUGGUUUCCUGGCCUUCCCAAAGAGAAUACCAUACCCAUGUGUGUACUAGUGCCACACAAGCCUUGUUUUAAUUAACCUGAUCACCAGAUUCAUGCAAAUCCAAGCAGAAAUGUGGGACAAUGUCCACGAGCUGCCCUCUGGCUUACAUAGGCUUGUUUUCUAUUACACAGAGUCUCAGGAACCAAGCAGGAUUUACCUGCCAGGAGUGGUUUGUGCUGCUGAAAACACUUCUUUUUGGGCAAAAUGCUCCUGUUGGGACCCCUGCAGGCUGCUGUGCUCUAGAGAAGUUAUCCCCAGCCCUGUUGCCUGCGGAGCAGUGCUCCAGCCUCCAACAGAAACGCACUCCCAGGCAUGGGAUAGAUGGAAAUGACUUCUCUCACUCUUUUAUCAGCCACUGCAACAGGCACAGCUCAGCUACAGAGAGCUCUGGAGUCUCAACUGACCCCGGAUGAACCUUGUCAUAAAAUAAUAACAAUAAAAACAAUACAGGAAUAUGAAUCCUAUAAAUCACUGACCUCUUCUGAGAGUCAACUGGAUCUCUCUGAACGUUUUUAAGAUUCAUUUAGUGCUGUCUUUAUGGCUGGCUUGUAUGUCAUCGUGGCAUGGGCAGGUCUUCAGCUGAAAUAAAUCCCAGAGCCUCCACUAAAACUGUCAUUUCACUUUUGAUUUACAGUCUCCUGAGUGAGACAGUCCCUGUGCUAUUUCUAUUCAGAUAAGGAACUCGAGAAAGUUGUUAUCAGAGCAUAUAACACUCUAAUUAUUCUGACAUUGGAGACAGAUUAGAAAGCAGAUCUUUGGAAGCCUCUUGAAUUGGGGUGAUGCUCUUUGAAUUGUAAAUAUCUUCUGACUUGCAACUGUGAUUGCACUUGCAAAUUUAUCAGGCUCUUAAUGUUAUUUCAGCAUGCCUGAAUAGCUGAUUUUAUUUGCCUGCUUUGUGAUUAAAACUAAUGGGAGCAGACCACAACUUCAUGCUGUGUUUCCAUAUAGCAGAGUAAUUACAGAACAGGCUUUGAAAAUACAUCUGCAAUGCAGGUAUUUCUCAGUCAGGUUUUUACUAGGGGAUAUGGCCACUUUUUUCCAUGUGUACUGACUUCCCAUGUGUUUAGAGCAUGCAGAGAGUUUGAUUAUCCCUUAAAGCAUGGCCAGAACACCUGUCAAAAUACCACUUCUGUUCUUGGAGAUUAAGAAGUAAUUUAUUUCUUGCCAUUUGCCAACUUAUUCUUAGCUUGAUACCCCUGCCUUGUAUUUGAUAUGGUCAUAUCUGUAGCUGACAAAUUCAAUUUCAUAAUAAACCUGACAAGAGCAUUUCUGACAGGAUAUAGCUCUGGCCUGAUCAUGUGUCUGGACAUGAGAGGAAUGGUAAGAGGGGGAAAAGCAGCAAACAGAGAAGGAACCAAAGACCUGAAUUGCAGCCAGAGAUGUGCUUAGAGCCCAGCCUAGAGAGAAUAACACAGAAAAGGACAGAGAACCUGGGGGAGCAGCUGAUUACAGUAAGACCAGGUGUUGUCCCCACAUGUCAUUUGAUUCCUGCUCUGCUCAGAGAAACUAGAUUUGGUUAAUAAAGAGGAUUUGAGUUCAUAAAGAGGUUUUGAUUGUUAACUUUGAAAAAUAACUAAAGUGAGUUUUGUAAUGGAAGCAUCCAGUGAGACCCCCAAAAGCCACUGAACUGCUGGAAGACAGCACUGCAAGGACCACUCAGGGCUUCAGCAGCACAGGAUGACUUCACCCGUGUUCCCUUGGACCUCUUGUGGAUGAGCAGAAUGGCUGAGGGGAGGCUGAGGAAAACCAGGCACUCCCCUGUGUGUGCAGCCCCUGCCUGGAGCAGCAGAUGGGAUGGGGAGGGAGCCAAGGAGCUGCUGAGCCUGCUGAGGUGUUCCACAGUGAGACGUGCCUGGCCAGGAUCACCCAGGACAUGUGUCCCACCACCAAACCCCUGGGGAUAGAAAUCCUUGCAGGGACUGGACAGUGAGCUGUCUGAACACAUAGAAAAGGAGCACCAGCCCCUGGUCUUGGGUUGUUGAUAAUGGCUAGAAAUGCUCAUUUUAAAAAUGAGGUAAGUGUAAUGUUUCUAGAAAGUGGAAAGCUUCCAAGCCUGAUCGUGCCUCAUGCCCCUGCUGCUCUUCAGCUUGAGACCAGACACUUGGGGCAAGCUUUACCCUGCUGCAAAUGUUGACUCUGAUGUUGUGAUCCCUCCCAGGAAAGGAGGGUUUGUGAUGGAAAUGAUGAUGGAGUAUGAAGUGCCAUGGUGCUUUAUGAGCAACACAGCUACAACAACAAGCCCCAUACCAGUAAAUAGGAAAAAGGUCCUCUCUGUCCAGAUGGGGAGGCAGGAGAUAUAACCCUGCUCUACGUAACACCAGAGACUUUCCAAAUCCUGCUCCAAAGCUUUUAAUCCCUUCAGCCCUAAACGAUUCAAAAUUACAUCAUCAUUUCCUCCAUUUCAGACCGAGCUUUGCCCCUUCUGCUUCUUAGCUGCAGUGCAGCUUAAUAAGACUCAUACUUCUUCAUCUUAAAUGGAAAAAUAUAUGUCAAGGCAAAACAAAGCACAGUUUCUGGACCUCCACAGGGGGCGAGGGGGGUGUCCCAUAAAUCUGUGUGUGAUUAAAGGCAGCUGCAGAUUGACAUGGACAGUUUGAGCUUGUCAGUCCCUUGAUGGAUGGCUGUUGGAGCAAGCCAGCAGUGGCAAACCCAAGACAAUGAAUUUCCUGCACUUCCUAAUCUCAUUGCUGAGGACUGGGAAAUGGAUGCCUAACCAGCCCUCUAUUGGUAAGGGCUAACCCAAACCCCAGCACAAGCACUGCACGUUUUCAGCCCGGCCAUUUAUUCUCAACUCUUUCAAUCUCUUGUUUCAAUAGCAGCAAAUGUGGAGAAGGACAAUGAAUUCCUUUCUGGUAACCUGAGAAUACCGGCUAAUGGAAAAAACAAAAACUGCUCUGCAACUAUAUUAAAUUUUCAGGGAUUUUUCCCUCCUGCCCCCAACUGGCUGAUGUUAACAUUUUUUCCAGCGUCCUUGAGAUUGCAGUAAGCAGCUUGCAGGGAAAAGAAAAACCAAACAGCUUGAACCACAUCCUCAGCUGGCACAAAGUGAUGCAGUUCUUUUUACACCAGCUGAGAAGCCAGGGUACUGCUGCUUUUAUUUCAGAUUCACAACAGAGUUACCAUCAUAAAAGUAAGAUACUGAGAUGAGUUUUGCUCCAAGUGACAUCAUAAAUUUGUGGGGAGCAGGAAAUGUCUUGGCAGAGCUGAAUGGGGUGCUGUGCACAGAGCCCAUUUGGCACCAGCAGCUAAACCCAGGAUCCGUGGGGAUGCAUCCAAGGACACAGUCUUGCAUUUUGUCUCCUGAUUUUAAGAACAUCAGACUGAUCUGUGUGCUUAGAAAUGGAAGCAGGAAAAAUAAUGAUGAAAACACACAUCCAAUAUUAUGGUUGCAAUUCUGGUUAUCUAGCGUGUUUCACUAUAAAAAUUGUGUGAUUUAAGAAGAAUGGAAUGGAAUGGAAUGGAAUGGAAUGGAAUGGAAUGGAAUGGAAUAGAAUAGAAUAGAAUAGAAUAGAAUAGAAUAGAAUAGAAUAGAAUAGAAUAGAAUAGAAUAGAAUAGAAUAGAAUAGAAUGGAUAUUUCAGUUGGAAUGUACCUACAAUGCUCAUCUGCUCCAACUAUCUGACCUCUUCAGGGCUGACCAGUGCAUUAAGGGCAAAUGUCCAAAUGUCUCCUAAACACUGACAGAUUUGGGGAAUCAACCACCUCUCUAGGAAGUCUGUUCCAGUGUCUGACCAUCCUCUUGGUAAAGAAAUGCUUCCUAAUGUCCAAACUUUCCUGGAGCAGUUUUGAACAAUUCCCACGUGUCCUGUCACUGGAUACCAGGGAGAUGAAUGCACAUUUGUCAUAGAAAGAAUCAUAGAAUGGUGUGGGUUGGUGAUAUUGGUAGUGUCCAGCAGCAUCUGGAAGGAGGAGGAGGCACCUAAUCUGAGGUGUGAAUUUAGGGAACUUGGCUGCUGGGCACUAGGGAUCCUACAUAGUUUCAGGGUGUGAAGUUUAUGAACAGGAGUUUGGGGAUUUCAAGUUUGGAUUUAGAUACAACUCCCACAUCUCUCAAAGGUGCUGUAAAUACUCAUAUUUUUUUUUUUCUGGAAGAAGAGAUAUUUGGAGAACUGCAAGUCGGGGGCUUAAAAUGUGCAGAGAUCCCAAGUUACCAAGGAUAUACUGAUGUCAGUAAAAGAUAAAACAAAAGAGCCUAUUAAAGUAAAGAGGACUCCAAUGUGCUCCAGAAGACCUUUUGGAAAAGCUAACUCCAAUGUGCUCCAAAAUUCAGUAUUUGUUAACUGAAGACCUCACAGUUUGCAUUUGGGGGACUGAAAGUUACUACAUGGAAUUUGGAAGCCAUGUUUUCAGGGGUGAAUUUGAAAGACAAAACAAAGGAAGCAUUUCCAGCCUGUUUCUGUCUCUCUUACCCUGGCACACUUGAAGGUGCUCUGUCAAGGCGGUGGUUUGGAAAGUGUUAAGCAAAUUUGGCCAAGGCCCAUAGAUGCUCCUGUAGCACAAGGCAGGAAGAGCAGCAACAUUUAAUGAGAUUCUCCCUCAGGAAUGAUGGAGGAAGAGAGAGCCUUUCUGGAGCUGAACACUGCCAUAGUCUGUAUUGCUGCGAAACUAAACUGAAGUUCAAGGGAACAGAGUUGUGGAAUCCCUGCCAGGAGAAGUUGUGGAUGCAAGAAGUUUAGUGAUCUCAUGGUGAGACUUUAGAAGAGAUGAGUAGGGCAGGGGAUCAGUAGAUAGGACCUAGAGAAACCACUGACAGAUGAGCAGAGCAGCCUGAGCUGUUUGAGUGUCUGUCCAUCAUUUCCUCCAGCCUUUGGUCAGCAUUGUGGUGCUCAAAAAGCUGAUCCAAGGUAAAUCUGGUAUCUCAGAUCCAAAGAGAAUGGGAUCUCAGCAUCCAAAACCUGGAGUGGCUACUCCCAUUCACUUUCUGCACUACAGACCCCACCUCCCACCCCACAGAUGGAUUCAGAAAUCCUUCUGAUGCACCAUGCUACCAA